UAUACUAAUAUAUUUGUAGAUGGGGCACACUGAGAGGAGCAAAGGGACAGAAAGAAAAAUUCUGGAUUGCUGCCAAUUCCUGGGGAAAGUCCUGGGGAGAGAACGGCUAUUUCAGGAUUCUUCGAGGAGUAAAUGAAUCUGACAUUGAAAAGUUGAUUAUUGCAGCUUGGGGCCAACUGACAAGUUCAGAUGAAUCAUAACAUAUCAUUAAAUUUCCAUAGGUCAUGCAUUUAAGUAACCCCUUAAAUUGAAAUUAAGCAAUGUGAGGGUCUCUGUGACAGCGGAAUCUUUUUCUCUUCACCUUGUUAUUAUAAUGUGCCUAUUUUCUGGUUUCACCCCAGGUUCUAUGCCUCUGCUUCCUUAAUAAUUUUCUGAGUCUAUAAAAACACUAUUUAAUAGAGGACAGCAGAGUGGCCAAAUGCCUUUAAAGGUCCCUGGUUGUCUUUAUUUUUCCCUCAUGACAAUGUCCUUUUGACUUUGAUAACUCACAGACGGUGUGUCGGUACUUGUCUUCAAGUCCAUGGCACGCAUGUAAAGAAAUGAUGUAGUUUCUCCCUUUGAACAAUGAGGAUUUCAGACAAUGAAAGCUAUGGAAACACCAAUUUACCAUCUUUGCAAUUUUUUUCAACCAAAUAAUGCUUUCCUAAUUCAGAGCUUUCUUACAUUUUGCCAAAAGUAAGGGAAAUUGAUUAUUAACUGUUUCUCUCAAUAAGUUCACAUUUUAUUUCUUUUUAGUUGCCUAAACUUAGUACAAUCUGAACUCAAAAGGAAAGUAGUUCAUUUACAAGACGUCACUAGUCUUUAUGGUACUGCAUUAUGGCCUGUCAUAUGAAGAUGGUGUCAGGGAGAGGAAAAUUUCCUUCUACCCCUCUUGGUUCUUUUGGGUGGUCUAAUAAGUAAAUUAACAUAGGGCAGAUUAACAGGAGAAAACCAAAUUUAAUUUGUAUGUACAGAGGGCCCCAUAAGAAUUUGAGACCCAAAGAAAUGACCCAAGCAGGCAGAUUUUAUACCUUUAAGACAAAUAAACUAUACAUUUGUGAAGAAA